rnacentral:rRNA from 1 species
GACGAACGCUGGCGGUGUGCUUCAUACAUGCAAGUCGAGCGAUAAGGCCCCUUCGGGGGUACAUAAGCGGCGGACGGGUGAGUAAUACGUAGGAAAUCUGCCUUAAGGAGGGGGACAACAUCGGGAAACUGGUGCUAAUACCCCAUAUGAGAUAUCUUGAAGUGGGUAUCUUGAAAGUUCCGGCGCCUUAAGAUGAGCCUGCGGCUGAUUAGCUAGUUGGUGGGGUAAAUGCCUACCAAGGCGACGAUCAGUAGCUGGUCUGAGAGGAUGAUCAGCCAGAAUGGGACUGAGACACGGCCCAUACUCCUACGGGAGGCAGCAGUAGGGAAUUUUGCGCAAUGGGCGAAAGCCUGACGCAGCAACACCGCGUGAGCGACGAAGCCCCUUGGGGUGUAAAGCUCUGUCAGUGGGGACGAAGCCUGACGGUACCCACAGAGGAAGCAUCGGCUAACUACGUGCCAGCCGCCGCAGUAACAC